rnacentral:misc_RNA from 1 species
UCGUAACAAGGUUUCCGUAGGUGAACCUGCGGAAGGAUCAUUAAAGAUUAUGAAUGAAUAGAUUACUGGGGGAAUCGUCUGAACAAGGCCUGCGCUUAAUUGCGCGGCCAGUUCUUGAUUCUCUGCUAUCAGUUUUCUAUUUCUCAUCCUAAACACAAUGGAGUUUUUUCUCUAUGAACUACUUCCCUGGAGAGCUCGUCUCUCCAGUGGACAUAAACACAAACAAUAUUUUGUAUUAUGAAAAACUAUUAUACUAUAAAAUUUAAUAUUCAAAACUUUCAACAACGGAUCUCUUGGUUCUCGCAUCGAUGAAGAACGCAGCGAAUUGCGAUAUGUAUUGUGAAUUGCAGAUUUUCGUGAAUCAUCAAAUCUUUGAACGCACAUUGCGCCCUCUGGUAUUCCAGGGGGCAUGCCUGUUUGAGCGUCAUUUCUCUCUCAAACCUUUGGGUUUGGUAGUGAGUGAUACUCGUCUCGGGUUAACUUGAAAGUGGCUAGCCGUUGCCAUCUGCGUGAGCAGGGCUGCGUGUCAAGUCUAUGGACUCGACUCUUGCACAUCUACGUCUUAGGUUUGCGCCAAUUCGUGGUAAGCUUGGGUCAUAGAGACUCAUAGGUGUUAUAAAGACUCGCUGGUGUUUGUCUCCUUGAGGCAUACGGCUUUAACCAAAACUCUCAAAGUUUGACCUCAAAUCAGGUAGGAGUACCCGCUGAACUUAAG